rnacentral:tRNA from 5 species
GCUCCCGUAGUUCAACAGGACAGAACAGCCCUCUCCUAAGGGGCUAAUCGCCGUUCAAGUCGGCGCGGGGGCACCA